GCCUGACGACCAUAGCGUGCGUGAACCACCUGAUCCCUUGCCGAACUCAGUAGUGAAACCGCUCCGCGCCGAUGGUAGUGUGGGGUCUCCCCAUGCGAGAGUAGGUCAUCGUCAGGCA
rnacentral:rRNA from 1 species